rnacentral:rRNA from 1 species
CUACGGGGUGCAGCAGUGAGGAAUCUUGGACAAUGGGCGAAAGCCUGAUCCAGCGACGCCGCGUGGGUGACGAAGGCCUUCGGGUUGUAAAGCCCUGUCAGAGGGGAAGAAGUUCUGACGGUACCCUCAGAGGAAGCACAGGCUAACUCCGUGCCAGCAGCCGCGGUAAUACGGAGUGUGCAAGCGUUGCUCGGAAUCACUGGGCGUAAAGGGCGCGUAGGCGGCUUGGUAAGUUGGAUGUGAAAGCCCUCGGCUCAACCGAGGAACUGCAUCCAAAACUGCCUGGCUAGAGUACGGAAGAGGAAGGCGGAAUUCCCAGUGUAGGGGUGAAAUCCGUAGAUAUUGGGAAGAACACCAGUGGCGAAGGCGGCCUUCUGGGACGAUACUGACGCUGAGGCGCGAAAGCGUGGGGAGCAAACAGGAUUAGAUACCCUAGUAGUC